AUCGCUUCUCGGCCUUUUGGCUAAGAUCAAGUGUAGUAUCUGUUCUUAUCGACCGAAGACGAGUGUAAGCCUCGGGUUUGAAGGUUAGAUAAGAAUAGACGAGGGUCUUCUCGUAUAAGCGCCCUCGGCGUGNGAAAACCCGGAUUACGUAAUCACGUAAACACGUGUUUCGUUCUCUGGGAAUUUCCACGGUAU
rfam:Nematostella vectensis strain CH2 x CH6 NEMVEscaffold_927_Cont34026, whole genome shotgun sequence.